AUGCACCGAGCACCAGACCGGCGGCGGCGGAGCCGCCAGCGCCGGGUCGAUGCCCCCAUCGGCCUCGAGCCUUGGUGCAGCCGGAGCGGCCAGAAGCCGGGCGGGCACAUCGGGCUGCACAUGCUGGUUCGACUUCGACGGCCCCGCGCCGUUCCGGUGGUUGCGACGGAGAUCCUGGCGGCGCUGGUUCCAACCUCCACGCCGGAAGCGGCGGAGGUCGCGCACACGAUGCUCAAAGCGGCGGCCACGGCCAUCGAUGCAAAGGAGGCGAAGAAACAGGGACAUCGGAACUCGAGUUAG
rnacentral:rRNA from 1 species